UACGAAGGGGGCUAGCGUUGCUCGGAAUUACUGGGCGUAAAGCGCACGUAGGCGGUCUUUUAAGUCAGGGGUGAAAUCCUGGAGCUCAACUCCAGAACUGCCUUUGAUACUGUGGAUCUUGAGUUCGGGAGAGGUGAGUGGAACUGCGAGUGUAGAGGUGAAAUUCGUAGAUAUUCGCAAGAACACCAGUGGCGAAGGCGGCUCACUGGCCCGGUACUGACGCUGAGGUGCGAAAGCGUGGGGAGCAAACAGG
rnacentral:rRNA from 1 species